rnacentral:rRNA from 2 species
AUGUGGUUUAAUUCGAAGCUACGCGAAGAACCUUACCAGGUCUUGACAUCUUGCGCCAACCCUAGAGAUAGGGCGUUUCCUUCGGGAACGCAAUGACAGGUGGUGCAUGGUCGUCGUCAGCUCGUGUCGUGAGAUGUUGGGUUAAGUCCCGCAACGAGCGCAACCCUUGUUACUAGUUGCCAGCAUUAAGUUGGGCACUCUAGUGAGACUGCCGGUGACAAACCGGAGGAAGGUGGGGACGACGUCAGAUCAUCAUGCCCCUUAUGACCUGGGCUACACACGUGCUACAAUGGACGGUACAACGAGUCGCGAACUCGCGAGGGCAAGCAAAUCUCUUAAAACCGUUCUCAGUUCGGACUGCAGGCUGCAACUCGCCUGCACGAAGUCGGAAUCGCUAGUAAUCGCGGAUCAGCAUGCCGCGGUGAAUACGUUCCCGGGCCUUGUACACACCGCCC